UACAGAGGGUGCGAGCGUUAAUCGGAAUUACUGGGCGUAAAGCGUGCGUAGGCGGCUUUCUAAGUCAGGGGUGAAAUCCUGGAGCUCAACUCCAGAACUGCCUUUGAUACUGGAGAGCUCGAGUCCGGAAGAGGUGAGUGGAACUCCGAGUGUAGAGGUGAAAUUCGUAGAUAUUCGGAAGAACACCAGUGGCGAAGGCGGCUCACUGGUCCGGUACUGACGCUGAUGUGCGAAAGCGUGGGGAGCAAACAGG
rnacentral:rRNA from 1 species